UGAAGCGGCAACAGAAAUUUGAAAUCUGGCUCCCGGGGUCCGAGUUGUAAUUUGUAGAGAGUGCGGGGGAGACUGCGGUCUAAGUCCAUUGGAACAUGGUGUCAUAGAGGGUGAGAGUCCCGUAUGUGACCGCGGAUCUAACCCAUGUGAAGCCUCUUCGACGAGUCGAGUUGUUUGGGAAUGCAGCUCAAAAUGGGUGGUAAAUUUCAUCUAAAGCUAAAUACUGGCUGGAGACCGAUAGCGCACAAGUAGAGUGAUCGAAAGAUGAAAAGCACUUUGGAAAGAGAGUUAAACAGUACGUGAAAUUGUUGAAAGGGAAGCGCUUGCAACCAGACCUGCCCGUAGGCGAUCAGCCGCUGUUCUCAGCGGUGCACUCGCUCUGCGAUCAGGCCAGCAUCGGUUUCGGCGGUCGGAUAAAGGCCUUGGGAAUGUAGCUUCCUUUCGGGGGAGUUUUAUAG
rnacentral:rRNA from 1 species